UCAAAUUAUAAAUAGGAAGUUUGUCAAAUAAUCACGGGUAGCCACACUUUUGACUUAAAAGUAGGAAAAAGUGCUUCAUAGAGCAUCACUGCAGAAUUACUGAAAUUUUGACGGCAUUCUGAAAUAAACAUGUUUACCAUGGAAAAGCUGACACUUCUGCUUCUUUUCAUGACAUUCUCUGCGGGGGAUGCAGCAGCUGAUGGCUGCCCCCCUGGAUGGUCAGCAUUUGGACUGAAAUGUGUCAAAUUCUUCUCACAAACACUUGACUGGUUGUCAGCAGAGAAGUACUGUCAAACUUUUGGUGGAAAUCUUGCAUCGGUGCACAGUAAAUCUGAAAACAGUCUUCUGCUGAACAUGGUGCCUGGUACGACACAAACUUGGAUUGGUGGUCAUGAUGGUGUAAAAGUAGGACAGUGGAUGUGGAGUGAUGGCUCUGCCUUUGAAUACAACAACUUUUGCAGUGGACAACCUGACAAUUCUCUAAAUAAUGAGAACGCUCUGGAAAUAAACUUCG